AUGUGCGGAGCGCUUGCAGCGCAAACGUCCGCUCAGGUCACCGCAACUUGGGAUAGCCGAGACCCUCAGCGGGCCGCUAUAGGUAAUCAGCUAUGGCGGCAUUGACUCUAGCGGUAGCAAGUCUGCGAGGACCGUUGCAAGAGUGCCUGAUGCACAUAUAUUCAAGCGCAUGCUAAGCCGGGAAUAUGGCGCCUGGAGUCCGAACCAAGGUCACUCGAGUCUGCAGAAAGCCACUUGAAGCCCUGGUAAAGGCGGUCUGGCUUUUCCACCAGCUGCACGCGGAGUCUCGGCCGCAUUGAUCCUUCAGGGCACUCAUCACCGGAAAAGGAAAAAAAGAAGUCACACAAUGCUCGUGUUUACGAAGGUGGGCGCUUUAUCAGCGACUAGUGCUCGAAUGAGGACUGCAGAUGGUCAACGUGG
rnacentral:lncRNA from 1 species